rnacentral:rRNA from 1 species
GAUGAACGCUGGCGGCGUGCCUAAUACAUGCAAGUCGAGCGAACAGACGAGGAGCUUGCUCCUCUGACGUUAGCGGCGGACGGGUGAGUAACACGUGGAUAACCUACCUAUAAGACUGGGAUAACUUCGGGAAAACGGAGCUAAUACCGGAUAAUAUAUUGAACCGCAUGGUUCAAUAGUGAAAGACGGUUUUGCUGUCACUUAUAGAUGAAUCUGCGCCGCAUUAGCUAGUUGGUAAGGUAACGGCUUACCAAGGCAACGAUGAGUAUCCGACCUGAGAGGGAGAUCGGCCACACUGGAACUGGGACACGGUCCAGACUCCUACGGGAGGCAGCAGUAGGAAAUCUUCCGCAAUGGGCGCAAUCCUGACGGAUCAACGCCGCGUGAGUGAUGAAGGUCUUCGGAUCGUAAAACUCUGUUAUUAGGGAAGAACAAAUGUGUAAGUAACUAUGCACGUCUUGACGGUACCUAAUCAGAAAGCCACGGCUAACUACGUG